rnacentral:rRNA from 1 species
UACGUAGGGUGCGAGCGUUAAUCGGAAUUACUGGGCGUAAAGCGUGCGCAGGCGGUUCGUUAAGUCAGAUGUGAAAUCCCCGGGCUCAACCUGGGAACUGCAUUUGUGACUGCAUGGCUAGAGUACGGUAGAGGGGGAUGGAAUUCCGCGUGUAGCAGUGAAAUGCGUAGAUAUGCGGAGGAACACCGAUGGCGAAGGCAAUCCCCUGGACCUGUACUGACGCUCAUGCACGAAAGCGUGGGGAGCAAACAGG